UGCAGUGUGAACAUUCUGGACAAAAGGGUGAUUUGCAUCUUAGGUGGGACAGAGUGGGAUGGUGUGAGAUAUUAUAAUGCUACUCAGAAUGGAGCAUGAUUUAAAACUUAUGAGUUGUUUGAUUCUGGAACUUUCCAUUUAAUAUUUUCAGACCACAACUUACCAUGGGUAAUUGAAGCUGCAGAAAGCAAAACCGCUAAUCACAGGGAGUAUGAUUCUUUGAUUGAGAUGCCAGGGAGAAGUGGCCAGACUCAAGGCUAUGUGGGUGGGGGUGACAUUAGAAGUAUUUAAGCACCUGCACUGUUUAGGGCACCAACCAAUCAGAGCAGACCUUAGCUGCGCCACAGGUUAACCCUUUAGUUGCUGGGUCCUGGGAAGGUGAAAGGGCAGCCUGGGGAGGAGGGUCUUGGGGAAGGCAGCUAAACAGCAGUCUGGUGUGUGAGUGUUUAAUAGUUUGACCACUGAGGUGUGUGUUGACUCAUAUAACCCAGGGUGUGGGUAUGCUUGGUAGCUCCGAGAGAAAUAUGGGGAUGUCUUCACGGUAUACCUGGGACGGAGGCCCAUGGUCAUGCUGUGUGGGAUAGAGGCCAUAAAGGAGGCCCUGGUGGACAAGGCUGAGGACUUCUUUGGCCGGGGCAAAAUUGCCAUGGUGGAGCCAGUCUUCCAGGGAUAUGGUGAGAGCCUCCAAGGCACUGGGAGUGCCAGGUGGAGGAUGCAUCAGGGAAGGCAGAAAAUGGGUGGAGAAGGUCCGACAGCCUCCUUCCGACGUCCUCUGCAACCCACACCUCCCCACACGCCAGGCGUGUUCUUUGCCAACGGGGACCGCUGGAAGACCCUCCGGCGAUUCUCUCUGGCCACCAUGAGGGACUUCGGGAUGGGAAAGCGGAGUGCAGAGGAGCGGAUUCAGGAGGAGGCUCAGUGCCUGGUGGAGGAGCUGCGGAAAUCCAAGGGAGCCCUCCUGGACCCCAUCUUCCUCUUCCAGUCCAUCACUGCCAACAUCAUCAGCUCCAUUGUCUUUGGAAAACGCUUCCACUACAGAGAUGAAGAAUUUCUGAAGCUGCUGGACCUGUUCUACCAGUCUUCCUUACUCAUCAGCUUUCUCUGGCCAGCUGUUUGAGCUCUUCUCUGACUUCUCAGCGCACACAGGCAGGUCUACAAAAACCUGCAGGAAAUCAGUGCCUUCAUUGGCCGCAGGGUGGAGGAGCACCGGGAAACCCUGGACCCCAGUGCCCCACGGGACCUCAUAGAUGCCUACCUGCUGCGCAUGGAAAAAGAGAAAUCCAACCCACAGAGUGAGUUCAACCAGAAGAACCUCAUCCUCAACACGCUCUUGCUCCUUUUGCUGGCACCGAGACCACCAGCACCACUCUCCGCUACGGCUUCCUGCUCAUGCUCAAACACCCUCAUCUAACAGAGGGAGUCCACAAGGAGAUUGAACAGGUGAUUGGCACACAUCGCCCUCCAGCCCUUGACAACUGGAUCAAAAUGCCAUACACGGACGCUGUCAUCCACGAGAUUGAGAGACUCGCAGCCCUUCUCCCCCUUGGUGUGCCCCAAAUGGUCACCAGAGACACCCACUUCCGAGGGUACAUCAUCCCCAAGAUGCCUUCAACCUUGACCACUUUCUGGAUGCCAGUGGGGCACUGAAGAAGAAUGAGGCUUUUAUUUCCUUUUCCUUAGUUUCUGGAUGUGCUCAAAGCACGUGGAUCCUUCCCCAGAUUCCUCCACAAAGGCACAAUUGUCCGACAA